rfam:Triticum aestivum genome assembly, contig: Triticum_aestivum_CS42_TGACv1_scaffold_080306_1DS
UUAGUACUCCCUCCGUCCCAAAAUACUUGUCGGAGAAAUGGAUAAAAAUAGAUGUAUCUACAACUAAAAUACAUCUAGAUACAUCUAUCUGUCCGACAAGUAUUUCCGGACGGAGGGAGUAGAUA